CCUACGGGUGGCUGCAGUAAGGAAUAUUGGACAAUGGAGGCAACUCUGAUCCAGCCAUGCCGCGUGAAGGAUGAAGGCGCUCAGCGUUGUAAACUUCUUUUGGGCGGGAACAAAACCCCCGACGUGUCGGGGACUGAGGGUACCGUCAGAAUAAGCACCGGCUAACUCCGUGCCAGCAGCCGCGGUAAUACGGAGGGUGCGAGCGUUAUCCGGAAUCACUGGGUUUAAAGGGUGCGUAGGCGGUCGGAUAAGUCAGUCGUGAAAUUCCCCGGCUC
rnacentral:rRNA from 1 species